GGCGAGGUGGCCAAGUGUUAAGGCGCCGGUCUUCUGAACCCGAAGAUCACAGGUUUGAACCCCAUUCUAGCCUA